GACGAACGCUGGCGGCGUGCUUAACACAUGCAAGUCGAGCGGUAAGGCCCUUUCGGGGGUACACGAGCGGCGAACGGGUGAGUAACACGUGGGUGACCUGCCCUCAGCUCUGGGAUAAGCCUGGGAAACCGGGUCUAAUACUGGAUAUGACUCCAUGACGCAUGUUGGUGGGGUGGAAAGCCUUGUGCGGCUGAGGAUGGGCCCGCGGCCUAUCAGCUUGUUGGUGGGGUGANGGCCUACCAAGGCGACGACGGGUAGCCGGCCUGAGAGGGCGACCGGCCACACUGGGACUGAGACACGGCCCAGACCCCUACGGGAGGC
rnacentral:rRNA from 1 species